CCUACGGGAGGCAGCAGUGAGGAAUCUUCCGCAAUGGGCGAAAGCCUGACGGAGCGACACCGCGUGAAGGAUGAAGCCCUUUCUGGGUGUAAACUUCUGUUCUGAGGGACGAAAUUUUUGACGGUACCUCAGGAGAAAGCACCGGCUAAUUCUGUGCCAGCAGCCGCGGUAAGACAGAAGGUGCAAGCGUUACUCGGAAUUACUGGGCGUAAAGCGUCUGCAGGUGUUCCGUUAAGUCUGGUGUAAAAGCACGGAGCUUAACUCCGUGUACGUGCCGGAAACUGGCGGGAUUGAGUCAUUGAAAGGCAUCUGGAAUGUCGUGUGUAGGGGUAAAAUCCGUAGAUCCACGAUGGAACGCCGAAAGUGAAAACAGGAUGCUAGCAAUGUACUGACACUCAGAGACGAAAGCGUGGGGAGCAAAGGGGAUUAGAUACCCCGGU
rnacentral:rRNA from 1 species